rnacentral:SRP_RNA from 1 species
CCGUGCUAGAUGGGGAGGUAGCGGUGCCCUGUAACCCGCAACCCGCUAUAGCGGGAUUGAAUUCCGUUUCGCGGCGUCUUUUCGUGGGGUCUUGGCACGGACACGUGGCGUUGACGAUUGGGUCCUGCGCAAUAAGACUUUGUGAACCCCGCCAGGUCCGGAAGGAAGCAACGGUAAGCAAAUGUUCUUAUGUGCCGCGGGGUUACCUGGUUUGAGCUAACGAUCCGGGUACCGCCCGGGAGAAGCCGUCAAAAAUCGGUGCACGG